rnacentral:rRNA from 1 species
UACGUAGGGUGCAAGCGUUAAUCGGAAUUACUGGGCGUCACGCGUGCGCAGGCGGUUAUAUAAGACAGUUGUGAAAUCCCCGGGCUCAACCUGGGAACUGCAUCUGUGACUGUAUAGCUAGAGUACGGUAGAGGGGGAUGGAAUUCCGCGUGUAGCAGUGAAAUGCGUAGAUAUGCGGAGGAACACCGAUGGCGAAGGCAAUCCCCUGGACCUGUACUGACGCUCAUGCACGAAAGCGUGGGGAGCAAACAGG